rnacentral:rRNA from 1 species
CAGCUCUUCAAGUGGUCGGGAUAAUUAUUGGGCUUAAAGUGUCCGUAGCCGGUUUAGUAAGUUCCUGGUAAAAUCAGGUAGCUUAACUAUCUGCAUGCUAGGAAUACUGCUAUACUAGAGGGCGGGAGAGGUCUGAGGUACUACAGGGGUAGGGGUGAAAUCUUAUAAUCCUUGUAGGACCACCAGUGGCGAAGGCGUCAGACUGGAACGCGCCUGACGGUGAGGGACGAAAGCCAGGGGAGCGAACCGGAUUAGAUACCCGAGUAGUCC